AAUGAACGUUGGCGGCGUGGAUUAGGCAUGCAAGUCGAGCGAGAACCCCGCAAGGGGGGACAGCGGCGAAAGGGACAGUAAUGUGUAGAUUAUCUGCCCUCAGGUCCGGGAUAGCUGCGGGAAACUGCAGGUAAUACCGGAUAACAUCUCCGGAUCAAAGGUGUGAUUCCGCCUGAGGAUGAGUCUGCAUCCUAUUAGCUAGUUGGUGGGGUAAUGGCCUACCAAGGCAUUGAUGGGUAGCAGGUGUGAGAGCACGACCUGCGUCAUUGGGACUGAGACACUGCCCAGACACCGACGGGUGGCUGCAGGCGAGAAUCGUCGGCAAUGGGCGCAAGCCUGACCGAGCGACGCCGCGGGUGGGAUGAAGGCCUGCGGGUUGUAAACCACUGUCAUAGGGGAUGAAAUGCAGGUGGGUCCUCCCAUCUGUUGGACAUGGCCUCAGAGGAAGGACGGGCUAAGUUCGUG
rnacentral:rRNA from 1 species